CUCUAUAUAUACAAAGCCAAUGUUCUCAAACCCUAACUUCCGCAGCAGCAGCAUCCAAAGGCUUCUAGGGUUUUUUUUUUCUCUAUCAAUCUUUAUUAGUGUUUUCAGGGUUCUAUAUUGUGUAUUGAAUCUGACAAACUAGCUUCUUUGUAUCAUUGCCAUUGUUUUGUAAGUCAUGUGUGAGCUUGGCAAUGCUAGUAUCUUACAAGCCUGAUGAUUGUCACCGAGAACGGAGAUUUGAAGAUUCUUUUGUUGAAGCCUUACCAACUAUGGGCUCCAAAAGCAUCUCAUGUAAUAAAUCGUUCUAUAUUGGUAUUAAUUAAUUAAUGAAGGCUUGUACUUUGAGUCCGUGAUAGCAAACGCAUGUAUGCCUGGUAAAGAACAACACUGCUAGACAAUGGUGUAUUGUCUGUUAUUUGGAAUGAAAUUUGAGAUUGAAAACCAGUGAAUUGGUCAAA